AUUGAACGCUGGCGGCAAGCCUAACACAUGCAAGUCGAACGAGUGGCGGACGGGUGAGUAAUGUCUGGGAAACUGCCUGAUGGAGGGGGAUAACUACUGGAAACGGUAGCUAAUAACGCAUACCAUAGGAUGUGCCACGAUGGGAUUAGCUAGUAGGUGGGGUAAAGGCUCACCUAGGCGACGAUCCCUAGCUGGUCUGAGAGGAUGACCAGCCAAACUGGAAUUGAGACACGGUCCAGACCCCUCCGUGAGGCAGAAGUGGGGAAUAUUUCACAAGGGGCGCAAGCCGGAUGCAGCCAUGCCGCGUGUAUGAAGAAGGCCUGCGGGUGGUAAAGUACUGUCAGCGGGGAGGCGUUACCCGCAGAAGAAGCACCGGCUAACUCCGUGCCAGCAGCCGCGGUAAUUC
rnacentral:rRNA from 1 species